CCUACGGGAGGCAGCAGUAGGGAAUCUUCGGCAAUGGACGGAAGUCUGACCGAGCAACGCCGCGUGAGUGAAGAAGGUUUUCGGAUCGUAAAGCUCUGUUGUAAGAGAAGAACGAGUGUGAGAGUGGAAAGUUCACACUGUGACGGUAUCUUACCAGAAAGGGACGGCUAACUACGUGCCAGCAGCCGCGGUAAUACGUAGGUCCCGACCGUUGUCCGCAUUUAUUGGGCGUAAAGCGAGCGCAGGCGGUUACAUAAGUCUGAAGUUAAAGGCUGUGGCUUAUCCAUAGUACGCUUUGGAAACUGUUUAACUUGAGUGCAAGAGGGGAGAGUGGAAUUCCAUGUGUAGCGGUGAAAUGCGUAGAUAUAUGGAGGAACACCGGUGGCGAAAGCGGCUCUCUGGCUUGUAACUGACGCUGAGGCUCGAAAGCGUGGGGAGCAAACAGGAUUAGAUACCCUGCUAGUCCACGCCGUAAACGAUGAAUGAUAGGUGUUAGACCCUUUCCGGGGUUUAGUGCCGCAGCUAACGCAUUAAGCACUCCGCCUGGG
rnacentral:rRNA from 1 species